rnacentral:rRNA from 1 species
CGCCUGUUUAUCAAAAACAUGUCUUUAUGAAAUAUUUAUAAAGUCUGGCCUGCCCACUGAAUUUUAAAGGGCCGCGGUAUUUUGACCGUGCAAAGGUAGCAUAGUCAUUUGUUUCUUAAUUGGAGGCUUGUAUGAAUGGUCGCACAAGAAACAAACUGUCUUCAAUAAAAUUAAUUGAAUUUAACUUUUAAGUAAAAAGGCUUAAAUAAAUUAAAGUGACGAUAAGACCCUAUAAAACUUGAUAAAUAAAAUUAAAAAAGCGUAUUAGUUUAUUAAAACUUUUUUUUUCUAACUUAUUUUAUUGGGGCGAUAAAAAUAUAAAAAGUAACUGUUUUUAAAAUUUUAAUGGUUAAUAACUAAAUUAAAUAAAUGAUCCUUUAAUAAAGAUUAAAAGAUUAAGUUACUUUAGGGAUAACAGCGUAAUUUUCUUUGAGAGUUCAUAUCUACAAGAAAGAUUGUGACCUCGAUGUUGAAU